UCUGGCGCGACUCUCUGGAUGAGCGGUGACUUCGCGUGACAUGGUCCCUCUCUGUCCUUGCGUCCCCCUUCGCGCGCGGGUCUGCGGGGACCGAGAGAGUGGUGCAGCGAUGGCAUCCCGUCGUGUGCGAGGGCUCAUUGUCAAUCGUCGCGACCAGUAUGACGUUCGUGAGACUACUCGUCUGCGCCAGUUUCGGGUUCGUUUGCCUCUCCGUCUCCGAGGCCUUGAAAUGUCGGACGGAGCUGAACGACAGACAGAACGAGGGGUUCUUCGACAUCGCGCGGGCGUGCGCCCAGAACAGCGGCACCACCUCGGGGUCGGACGGAGGGGGCGGGGGUGGGGGCAUGGGGGGCAACUCGGGGGGCGGGGGUAUGGGCGGAGGGGGUAGGCCUUGGUCGCAGAACACGCAAGAUUCGGGCCGAGGCGGCGGAAACGGAGGCGGCCGUCACCAGAGCAAUCAGUACGGAAAUCAGAACAACGAUAGAUACUGCUCCUCCGGCUAUCAGAACUCCGAGCGGGAUCGACCACGGUUCAGCAGCAGCGGGAGCGGCGGAGGCGGCGGAGGCGGCAACGACGACGACUUCUACACGAAGACGCAGUCGGAGCAGCGCUUCCGCGGUGACAGUGGAAGUGGUGGGCGGACACGCCCCGGGCAGUACCGCGUCAAGGUUCAGUACGGCUCCGGCCAGGGGGGCGGCCCCGACUCCAGGGCCUACCCCCUCGGCCGCAAACGCCGCGCCACCAAGAUCAUCUCCAACAACGCCAAAAAACGCCACCGGCCGCAACCCCACUUCUUCCGAGACCGGCAAAACCUCCCUCCUAGAGGAACUCGAUGCGGGAGAAGGGUAGGCAUUUAUAACGGGACCCGCCAGCGGUGGACUGGCCCUAAUGGCCCUCAAAACUCCCUCGACUGUUGAGAUCUCUGCACACCAAACUGCCAGCAUUAACCUGCUCAAGCAAAGCAUUGUGAGGAACGAACUGAACAACCGUGGGUUCUGAUACAGAUCAGAAAACCAAAAUUUGACUGAAUAUCAUUAUUGUCCGAAUAACUUAUCAACGUUUUCCC
rnacentral:lncRNA from 1 species